CAGUCGCCGCGGGAAUACGUAGGUGGCAAGCGUUGUCCGGAAUUAUUGGGCGUAAAGGGCUCGCAGGCGGUCUCUUAAGUCUGAUGUGAAAGCCCCCGGCUCAACCGGGGAGGGUCAUUGGAAACUGGGAAACUUGAGUGCAGAAGAGGAGAGUGGAAUUCCACGUGUAGCGGUGAAAUGCGUAGAGAUGUGGAGGAACACCAGUGGCGAAGGCGACUCUCUGGUCUGUAACUGACGCUGAGGAGCGAAAGCGUGGGGAGCGAACAGGAUUAGAUACCCGAGUAGUCCCUGUCUCUUAUAU
rnacentral:rRNA from 1 species